rnacentral:rRNA from 1 species
GGCCGGGAACUCAAAGGAGACUGCCAGUGAUAAACUGGAGGAAGGUGGGGAUGACGUCAAGUCAUCAUGGCCCUUACGACCAGGGCUACACACGUGCUACAAUGGCGCAUACAAAGAGAAGCGACCUCGCGAGAGCAAGCGGACCUCAUAAAGUGCGUCGUAGUCCGGAUUGGAGUCUGCAACUCGACUCCAUGAAGUCGGAAUCGCUAGUAAUCGUGGAUCAGAAUGCCACGGUGAAUACGUUCCCGGGCCUUGUACACACCGCCCGUCACACCAUGGGAGUGGGUUGCAAAAGAAGUAGGUAGCUUAACCUUCGGGAGGGCGCUUACCACUUUGUGAUUCAUGACUGGGGUGA